AUUAAUUAUACUAAGUGUAGUUUCGGCUAAAAAAGCAAAAAACUACAAUACACAAUGUCCAGAAAACGAAGAAUUGAAAAAAUGUGGCUGUGACGAAACUUGCGCUCCUGGAGAACUCACCAGCUGCCAUUUUGAUUGUGAAAUCCACGCGAAAUGUUAUUGUAAACCCGGUUAUGCUCGUAAUAUAUUCACCGGUUUGUGUCAGACUUAUGACGAAUGUGAAAAUUUACAUCAAUUAUAAAUAAAUAGAAAAUAAAGUUGAAAA